GACGAACGCUGGCGGCGUGCCUAACACAUGCAAGUCGAACGAGAAUCUUUGAACAGAACUUUUCGGAGUGACGUUCAAAGAGGAAAGUGGCGGACGGGCGAGUAACGCGUGAGUAACCUGCCCAUAGGAGGGGGAUAAUCCAUGGAAACGUGGACUAAUACCGCAUAUUGUAGUUAAGUUGCAUGACUUGAUUAUGAAAGAUUUAUCGCUUAUGGAUGGACUCGCGUCAGAUUAGAUAGUUGGUGAGGUAACGGCUCACCAAGUCAACGAUCUGUAGCCGAACUGAGAGGUUGAUCGGCCGCAUUGGGACUGAGACACGGCCCAGACUCCUACGGGAGGCAGCAGUGGGGAAUAUUGCGCAAUGGGGGCAACCCUGACGCAGCAACGCCGCGUGCAGGAAGAAGGUCUUCGGAUUGUAAACUGUUGUCGCAAGGGAAGAAGACAGUGACGGUACCUUGUGAGAAAGUCACGGCUA
rnacentral:rRNA from 1 species